GCAAAUUGACAAAACACAACACUUUUUUGAAAACAAAAACAAAAACAAAACCUUUCACCACAGAUCAGUGGGCAGAAACCCUAGCAGUGCAAAAACUCACUCUUUCGACGAGAGAGAGAGAGAGAGAGAGAGUCGCAUGUAUCGGAGAACUUGAAGCUUCCCUUUUCACAGGCAAGUUCUUUAUCUCUUCUUCACUUUGGUUGAUUUAUAUACUCUGAUUCAAGUAACUAUCUAAUUCAUCAUCUAAACCCUCCAAAGAUUUGACCAUGUAUAGUUGCAGAAGUCUCAUCGCACUCUCCCUAAAAA
rnacentral:lncRNA from 1 species